CCAAAGAGUUCAGCCAAGU
rnacentral:snRNA from 1 species